AUGCGACAACAAGUUAAAGAGAUGCUAGCCAUUCUCUUUUACCUCCGGCUCCACGGGUCUUUGAUCUGCCGCCUCGUUGUCGUCAGCUCUCCCCAAAACGAGAUAUCAAGGACUAGCAGAGGUAGAGAGGCAGGGGACUGGAGACCACAGCAGCGAUUCUGCUCUUGCCCAACCUCUUCAAUGAGGACCCGAGUGGCCUUUAUGUCCGUGACAAGAUUUCACCGCUCUUCACUCCUUUACUGCACAUCAGCGGAAAUCCAUUUCACCAUGAGAGUGAAAUCCCACUGGCCUUUGAUGGGGAGAACAUCCACAACAUCGAGGACGUCUCCAUGGGACUUGGGGCUCUGCUAUGGCUGUAUUUUUUAUUUUCCCUUAAAUUUCCCAAAAAUGUCAGAAAAACACAUGUUGUUAAGUUACUGUGUUCUGGGGAAAAGAGAAGUUGGGUGACGUUACCAGGGCCGGUCAUAAAGAUGGCAAACUUCCUAACAUAACUAAGUGGAUAUGAUACACACUAAAGCUGAAAAAUCUGUAUUUAGCAUCAAGUCUACAAUAUUGUUAGUUUACCUAUGAUUCAUUUUUAAUGCAUGUUGUUUUUAUUGUACAUCAUUAUUAUUAUUUUAAAUGUCAUGAAAAGCAUUUUACAAAGUAAUGUUAUUAUUUAAUAUGGUCUGACAUGUCUGCAGAAAUGUUGCAAUUUGUAAUGUGUUUUGUUUGGUAAAUUGUAGUGUAAAUAUUAAUUCACAUUUGUGGUGCCACUAAAUAAACAAUUCAUUAUUUAAGUAAAUAUUGUCAAUAUU
rnacentral:lncRNA from 1 species